rnacentral:misc_RNA from 1 species
ACCCUGAAGAAUCUGGGACAAG